CGCAGCGUUUAAUAGUUGCUCUAAUUCGAAAAGUGUGCAGGGUGAAUCAUAACUAAGUUGCUUUUUAAAAUUGUCAAAGUUUUAUGAUUUUUUUUCCAUUAGAGCGAACAUGAGUUAAUUUGACAGUGCAACAACCUCUCAAUCGUAUUUUACAAUCUAUUUUCGGUAAGGAUUGAGUUUUCAACACCAUCUCCGGAAUAAAGCAACAAUUUUUUUGUGAGUCUUUGUAGCUGCGUCCGUAAAAUAUCACCAUCUAGAGCAUUUUAUGCGAUGACCCUGCCAUCGAGGAAGUUCAGAGGUUAUUAUUUAAUUACCGCACUGUUUGAAUAGUAGAACAUUUAGACUAGCAGAGGCAAUCAUAACCACACACUAUCCCAGAAAGACGGCCGAAAGGUUUGCUUUUGAACUGCGUGGCGCAAGACAGUGGAGGACAGGUGUAAGUUUCUCAGGCAGUCAUGGACAGAGCCAAAGCAUUUUACUAGGAGCCGUUGGCAAAGUCGCGUAAAUAUGGUUCAAGAGCUGUACCCCAAAUAGGAAGAUGCCACAACAAAUUAGAAACAUGAAAAAUUAGUUGAUCGGCUCGGAACGUCAACACAGAAUCUGCUUUGAAGAAAAGAAACCCGCAGAAAAUUAUAAAUUCUACAUAACCUAUUUCGGAAAAAUUUACGAACUCUGUGUGGAUUUAUUUGCUAUUAAAAAUUAGAUCAAUUGAAGCUUAAAGAUUUGAUAGCAAUAGGUAUUUUGAAGAUCGGAUUCACUUUAUAUUUCGAAACGAUCUCGAUUGCGGAAAACGCUAGUAAAGCAAGUUGAAAAACUUAAGAUGGUCAAUACAGCGAUUCAAUAAAGAGCAGAUUGUUGCUGAUGCUCACUCUAAUAUUCCAGCAUUUAUCAGAAGCACGUUCGUUAUAGCCGAAGCUCGUUAUAUCCAAAUAUGUAUUCAAAAUAGAGCCAAAAAAACCAA